rnacentral:lncRNA from 1 species
UCAAGGAAUUGAAUCGGGCAAUGUCAGAAAAUGAAAACUUAUGUAGCCAUUCUCUUUGGAGCAUGAUCAUUUAAAUAGCAUGUAAAUCUAUUUUUUCCCUGCUGUUUGUAAUAUCAGUAACAUCCUCAGAAGGUGGUACUGAGAGUAGAUCUGAAAUUAGGAAUGUAUAUUGCAUAGGGAAUAUCAUUAACUAUUUGCUAUUUAUCCCAAUCUCGUGGAAAAAAACCUGAACACAGUUAAUACUGACAAACUUGUAGGUAAGAGUUCAAAUCAAAUCCUGAGAGCAACUACUGGACUUUGAAUGAUUUGGAGCAGAGCUUGGAGCAGUAUUUCAUACUCACUUCUUAUAGCCAUAGUGGAUCAAAUCAGAAGUCUGUUUCAUAUUUUCUUUGAAUUAUGUGAGUUCGAAAUCCUGAUCAUAACGUUGCUACUCAGUGGAUAUGUAUUCAUUGGCAUUAGCAUUUCUGAAUGGAUUAACUCAGCCAUUGUGAAAAACAGAUUCUGCAGUUUACUUAAAGAUAAGCAUGAGCAGCGUCAGGUCAAACAUUUUGGAAAUUUCCCAACAGAAAAGGCUCGCUCAUGGAAACUAAAUGUUCUGUAGAAAAGCUGUGAAUUUGAUGAAACUAUUGAAAAGAAGCCAGCAGGCAUUUGACCAAAAUCUUGCUAUUUUUCUGUCAGUUCACCUAUCUUUCUUUCCCCUCCUAGGCAAUAUCAGCCUCCAUGGGCUUGCAGAAGGACUGGGAAAAAGAAAACAACAACAAGAUGUUGAUAUGAACAAAUGCUGACUACAGCAUGCUGCAGCCCAGAACAGACCCAAACACUUUGGAGAAAUCCAGAUCAGAACUCCGCAGUCAGCCUUCCUGCAAACCUAAUCACAAACAGCAAAACACUGGAGCUUCGCAAGAAGAUACCAUACCUUCAGGGAGGCAUUGGAACCACCCUCAUUUCUACUGAAGAGGAAAAGAUUACAGAUGGAAAAAAUAAAGUUAUUCAAAUGAUGUGAGGGAAUGUCCUCUCUCUCCUUUUGCUGAGUGACUUCAGAAAAGAAGUGGACUGUGAGCUCUGUAGACAGAACUGCUGGCAUUUUUUCCGAUAGUUACAAAAAUAACAAGCAAAGAGUUUCUUGGAUGAGAUUAGCCUGCCACGGUAACAGUGUUUAUUUUACUGACCUAAAUCAUAAUUCUCACCCCUUUCUCUACAGCUAUUGGCAUCUCUAUCUUUGUUAAUGCUAUGCCAAAGUCAAACAGCUUGAACAUUGCUAGUUUUUGCAACUGAGUGUGCCUAAGCCAGAGAUACUGCACCACUGGCAGACCACAAUUCAGUCUUCUGCUGCAACGCACACAACUCUUGGCUCAGUGAGUGCCGCAGAUGUUAAGAUGGUGCAAAGAAUGACACUUGUAUGUCUCCUGGCAUGUUCUUCUGCUCACAUUAGCGAGAUGUGGAGCCUGCUCACUCCUCAGAGCCCUUGAAAAUCCCACUGAAGGAUGUGUAGAAGUCAGUGGACAACACACUGUUUUCAUAAAGAAAAUGCAAGUGCUCCAACCAUAUGUGCUGAUGCUCUGCUCACUUGUGGACCAUCUAGGAGCAGGAUCCAGUGUUUCAGGGUGCUCACAUUCUGACUCCUACCACUGGCUUCUUGCAUGUUUCUGGUGUUCAGACCUCUGUCUGUGAGGGUAAACUUUAAGCCUGAUGACCAGUUUCCUCUUAGUGCACAAAUGCAGCAAAGAGGAUCUGCGAGUUGGAUGCUGACCUGAAAGUAAAGCACAGUCACAGGCAACUGUUUUUGCUAGUCAGUUUUUCUACCUGUGUUAAUUCUCAUCUGAACACUGAGGACUGUGACUGGGAAGUAAACAUGAGCAUCAGAUGUAAGUGUCACUCUUAAUGGAAUCCUAACUCGGAUGGAAUCAACUGGGAUGUAACUAAUACCCAUAUGUUGGCACAUACCUCAGGAAAAUUAUCUGCAUUUUAAUUGUAAUAAGCAGGAUUUGUGCUUUAAAGUGACAAAAUAAUAAAGUUUGAUUGUUAUGACUCACUCAGUUGUUAAAUAACAAUCAAGUUACCAAUAAUUUCACCCAUAUAUAAGUCCUGACAGUCAUUUAAAUAGGAUGUGAUAGUAUGAAUACCAGAUAAAUAUGUUUUACAUGGCAACCCACUGAAGUUCUAUUUUUAUGGUUUUUUUAAAUACUUUGUUCCAAGGUACAUGGUAUAGUAGAAAAUGUUUCUCUGCUUAUUAUAUAUAAUUUUGAUAGUUUUCAGAUAGUUUUCUAUAUCUUUAGUACAGUUUAAGUCUCUAAACUUCACUAGACAUUUUGGUGUGUAUGUAUGAGCAGAUCAAGUGAAAUGAAACUAUGAAUUCCAAACAAACUCAUCUACCAGUUUUCAAAUUAUGCCUAUGCUGGAAGCUAUUGUCCCUUGGACCUGUAGUAUCUAUAAUUCCCAUUAAAAAAAAAUUACACAGCCUGUUUCAAGGCUUAUUUCAGCACAGAAAUCCAAAGUCACUGCUAAGAAACCAUGAGCUCACAGUUCUAUACCACUAGUUAGAUUGGGGCUGCUAUAGAAAAAAAAAGUUAGAUCCCCAGGUCUGAUUCUCUACUCUUAGGAGUAUACAAGUUUUAGAAAAGCUCUGUUCAAGCAGUGCGUUAUCCAUUAUAGUCAUUUCAUACAGGAGAGUUUAUACAGAACUGGUACCCCUACAGCUUCAAACAUAUCCAAAACAGAAAACUUUCAUCUUUUGUUGUUGUUUUGCAGGUGCUCAGUUGGAUAUGCCGUGUUCUUACAACUGCUUAAUUGCAAUUUGGCAGUAGUUUCUAAGCAAUAAUUCUAAACAAUUCGCAAAUUUAAUAUUUUUGUGUAUCAAAAAACUGCUCUCAGUGAAGCACACUCAAAGAACAUGCAUAUUGACUGCUUAGGGCUAAAAUUAAUAAUCACUACUUAUUUAUGCUAACAGUAAUACGUUAUCACUGUGGUUUUGCUUAGACUAGUUUGUGUGAUGUCUGCUCUAUAUCAUGUUAUACAAACAUUCUUUCCCACAAUAUCAUAGUCAUAAAUUUAGUAUAAGAAUAGUGUAAGAGAAGAUAAAACACACUAUUCUUUUGAUUUUGAUUAGUAUGUUUGUUAGGAAAACAUUCAUCCAUUUAAGGUAGUAAAGGAACUCUUUACCUCAAGUACUUCAUAGGCUCACCUCCAAAGUCCUGGAAAUCUGAGAAUAGUGUGGGUUAAUUCAGGAAACAGUGCAUGAGGUACAUACAUACACAGAUUGCAUAUAUACAGCAUGUGAAACAGCCCACAGAGGCUCAGGCAUUAUUUGUUAACAGACACCAACCAUUGGCUUACAGGCCAGGACAGUGAAUAGACUUCUGUGUAAACUGCAAGUAGAGAACUACCGCAUGCUCAUGUUCAGUCCUUGCAAGUUACAUGUUUCAAGGCUAGCUUCUGCCAGUGAACCUACAUAUUGACUGAGUAGGGAGGAGCUCCUGCCAAAAAAUAACUGGUCCUUGGGCAUCUUGUCGGCUAAGGGCCAGUCCUCAAAUGCAAUUUGGGUGUAUAAUUUUUCUGGGAAAAAAAGAGCUCUUAUCUGUACAGAUGUGUUGACCAGCUACACAUAUAGAAAAUAUCUGGUUUACUUUUUAAUUUAGGCAAAGCCAUUGAUGGUUUUCAAUUGGCUGAGUCACAGCACCAUAAAGGUUAGCCAACUUGACGUCAAAACCAGUGGUCCCUCACCUCCCAGCUGUAGCUGAGCAGGUUGGCCAAUGGCUGUGCCAUCCACCAAAAACCCUUCCUAGGGUCUCCAGGAGCUGAGCUGUGGAGAAAGGAGUUACUAGGAGGAAGAGUUUGUGUUGAAAUUAUAUUAUAUAUACAUAUAUAUAUACACACACACACGUAUAGAUAUAUAUGUACACACACACCACACACCUAUAAGCACAUGCACACUUUUAUAAUCUAUAUACACAUAUAUAAUUGUAUUUACAGGAAGCUGAAAGUUCCAAAGCAGAGUUAAAGAGUUAGAUAACACCAAGCAAACAGCUUGAGCCAAGACAUCUGAGCUUACCUUUGGUUUCUAAGACUCCUACGAGUGUUGUUAAUUCAGCAAUUCACAUAUUGCUACUGGACUAUUCCAUUUUACUGAAAUCAAGUGAUAAGGGUUUUGAAAGCCCAUGUCUUUGGAAAGGAAUAUGGCUACUGCAGCAGCCUGAUGAAGACAGAACAUGCACAAGGGAAAACUUCAUACAGCACUCUCCAUGUGGCUUCACUGAGCCACACUUACUGUACACUGUUUCCUCAGAAAGCCCUUCAAAAACAUUUCAGGUAUACUUAUAGGAUAAAUGCACAGCUAGGUCUGUGGCAGAAGACUAAAGUUUAAGAUACCAUAAAUGACUGCUUCCUGGAACAAAUGGCAGGCUAAUCCAUAAGGGGGAGAAGCAAUUUUUUUUUUUUAUUUAGACCUAAAUGAUGCAUGGGACCUGCUUCAAAAUGAACAUUCACUCUUCAAGACUGACCAUAAAGCACUUAAAAUCUACAUUCCUAUAGGAGUGAGAAGCCAAAAUUGUAACUUCAGAAAGGGGAAGUACAUAAAAAUGAGAAAUCUUGUUAAAACGGAAUUUAAAAGAAGCAACCCAAAAAAAUAAAAAUUGCAGAUAUAAUGUAUGUACAUGUUAUUAAAGUCUCAGAAUAAUCAUAUAUUAUGUAUCCAAAAGAAAUCCCUCAGAAACCAAGAAUUAAAGGACCACACAAAAAAGGCAGCAUGACUAUAUGAUACAGUAAAGACAGCUAAUUGGGGUAAAAAGAAAUCCCUCAAACAGCGGAGCUUAUGUGGAACAAUGAGGAAAAUAGAAAAGAUCAUAAACUUCAGCAUUUCAAAUGGUAACUCAUAUUACAGCAGGCCAAAAAGAUCAUAAGGAACAACACACCACAGACAUAAAAAAGUAGUAAUAAAAUCUUUCUUUUCCAAACACGCUAGUGUUAGAUACAGAAGUUCUGCCAGAGAAUUUGUAGGGUUGAUCGUCAUGGUACACCAUAAGACUGCUUAUGAAAGACAAAUACUAAGUUAUGUGCAUGGGGGAAGGAACCCUAACUGCUCUCACUUAGUUCUGAUUUCUAGAUCAGCUACUACUGCUCAAGAAGAUCUAGUAGCUCUUAUGGCUAGUUCAAUGAAAGUGUCAGCUGAGUACUCAACAGCAGUAGAGAAAUGAGGAGAAUCUUUGCAGUUAUAAAUAAAGGAAUAGAAAACAAAGUGGAAAAUGCUUAUGCAAGUCCAUGAAAAAGCUUAAACCUUCAGUCUUAAUUACCAUGCAUUGUCAGGGCGUAGGAGGCUGUCAAUGUGAGCAUAAGGUUCAAGAUCCUUUUGCUCAUUUCAUCUUAUUACAGAAGGACCGUAUAUAUCACAGCUAUACUUAAAUAAUGAAUGUGCAGCACACAGUGAACCCGCAGAACAUGUUGCCCCAGGAUACUGUGAAACUGAGAGCACAUCUCAGGGCACAGCCUAGAUUUUGUUUGUUUAGGAAUAUUUUUUGCUGCUUGUGCAACAGAAGUUAUUAAAUAAUUUCUCACAGCUCAGGUACUUUGAAUACAUGUCUGCAUUAAUGUUUUUGCUGGUAAAGUGAAAAAUGUUGAUGGUGUGAGACUUGAAUCCCAGA